GACGACUGGAUGCAAAGCAAUACUAAAUAAAUGCUCAGUAGGAAUUAAAACGAAUUAAAAUAAAACAUUUAAUUUUGGCAAAUUAUUACAAUUUCAUAUGAAAAAACAAUAAUAGACGUUAAAGUUAAUCCAAUCAAUGUUCAGCACCACCAUUCAUCAACAACACUUCGACCACACGUCUGUAUUCAGCGGGCAACGAUAAAUCUGACAUCUACACCAUUGUGAAUUAAUCCGUAUCCAAAUUAUCGGUUAUAAACUCUAUUGCUCCUUUAUUGUCCUUUAAUCAGUCGAUUAUAUUGUAAAUUCGUAUAUCCACAGUAACACCGGCAAGGAACAUACACUGAAAAAUAAAACUUCCACAGAAAAUGAGACUGAAACUACUGAUUAUAAAUAUUGGGUGGGAUAAAUAAUGGGAGGGUUAGUUUUCGGCUAUCGACGGCAGAAUGAAAAACUUAAAAUUCUUUAAAUCAC
rnacentral:lncRNA from 1 species